UGGGAUGUAACUCAGUGGUAAAGUACUUGCUUACCAUGAAUGAGGCCCUGGGUUCAAUCCCCAGCAUGACAA
rnacentral:tRNA from 1 species